ensembl:lncRNA
GGGGACUUCACCAACCGAGGACCAUGGCUGGACAGAAAGACUGUGCACUUUGGGGUCAGCUGGGCCUGAGUUAGACUCCAGCUCCCCCACUUGUUAGCUUCAAAUUCCGAGAUAGUUGUGUUUGAACUUAUUUGACUUCCUCUGGGGCUACUAAUCUCCACAUCGCUCAAUCCUUGGGAGUCUGUGAGCUCCCCAAGAGGGAAACUAUCUGAUUCAUCCUAAAAGCCAGAAGCAAGUCUCCCUGGAGACCUCGCCACCGGAAGGUCCACCCAGCCAAACAGCCAUCCUGGGGCAUUGCCUCCUUGCCUGGCAUGAACCCCCAGAGGAGAGCUCGUGGCUGUGAUACCAGAGUUGUCAUCUCCAGGAUGGGAGCGGUGGGAAGAGACUGUGAAGCCUGCAGACCCCAACCCCUCAGUGGGACAGCAGCAGGGACCUGGAAUCUUCCAUCAGGAAGAAGCAAUACUGGUAGGCAGCAGAUGGCAACUUCAAACACGUGCAGAUGGCUUGCAUUGUAACCCGACGGACAGUAAGAACACAUAUCCUAGAUCACCAACCUGGAAGACACCCCCUUAAAUAUACCCAACUCUGCUCAUAAGGCACCUCAGCACCCACAAUCCACUGCUAAGUGCAACCUAAGAUCUCUAUCUUAUAAACCCUUUUCAUGCCUCUUACAGUCACAUUCUGAAAAUUCUUUUUCCGUGGCAGAAGGCAGCAAACCUGCAAACUUGGGCCAGGGAUUUAGCUCAGUGGUUUUGCCACCUGCUGCGCAAGUGGAAAGACCCAAGUUCUAUCCCAAGUAACAACAAAAAACAAACAAACAAACAAACAAAACCCUGCAAACUUAUUCUACAAGAGUGGGACAGGUUCCUUAUUUCAGCCCUGGUGACCUUCAGAACCAGCUCAGUGACAAGACCAAGCUUCACCUCCCAAAUCACAUUUAGCAAUAAAUGCAUCACUGGAUGAAUCCACUGAGUAGUGGUCAGACUGUGAUCCUGUCUCCCUCCCCAAGGCUCCACCUAUGAGCACAUGAGGCUUUGAG